rnacentral:rRNA from 1 species
GACGAACGCUGGCGGCGUGCUUAACACAUGCAAGUCGAGCGGAAAGGCCACUUCGGUGGUACUCGAGCGGCGAACGGGUGAGUAACACGUGAGUAAUCUGCCCUUGGCUUUGGGGUAGCCACCGGAAACGGUGAUUAAUACCGGAUAUGACCACUUCACGCAUGUGAUGGUGGUGGAAAGUUCUUCGGCCAGGGAUGUGCUCGCGGCCUAUCAGCUUGAUGGUGAGGUAAUGGCUCACCAUGGCUUCGACGGGUAGCCGGCCUGAGAGGGUGACCGGUCACACUGGGACUGAGACACGGCCCAGACUCCUACGGGAGGCAGCAGUGGGGAAUAUUGGACGAUGGGCGGAAGCCUGAUCCAGCAACGCCGCGUGAGGGAUGACGGCCUUCGGGUUGUAAACCUCUUUCGCCUAUGACGAAGCGCAAGUGACGGUAAUAGGUAAAGAAGCACCGGCCAACUACGUGCCAGCCGCCGCAGUAAGAC